CUCUGAAGUUUUCCUUAGGAUAGAGACGUCUGGAAGGCAGCAAACUGCUGAAGUGCUUCUGCAAGAAAUGACUGGGACUGCAUCUGUGCUCUGNGUGAAUUGGAUAAUCAUCUCUGGAAAAUUAUUCCCAAGCUCACUUCAGAAAUGGGUCCAGAUCUCAUAUUGAAAGGGUCAAAUGCCAAGUCAAAGCAACUCAAGUAUUGUUUUGAUGCAGAAAACACUUGGGUCUAUUGGCAGUUUCCCAUCCAGGUAGAGCCCGGGCGUGACCAGAGUCCAGGCCCUAAUUGGAAGAGAAUUCCCUGAUGUAUUUUAAAUAACAAGACUUUUAAGAAUAGAAGUAAUGAGUAAUGGUCUUAGGCUGAACGAUUAAUCAAACCCAUCCAAAAGCUGGUUCCCUCUGAAGUUUUCCUUAGGAUAGAGACGUCUGGAAGGCAGCAAACUGCUGAAGUGCUUCUGCAAGAAAUGACUGGGACUGCAUCUGUGCUCUGUCCUCUCUCACAAGGACCACAAGAUCAUCUGUUUAGAGGACGUUUUCAACGAGGCUCAGAUAUUGUUCCUCAGAACUCUGAACGUACUGACAAUCAUGAAACAACAGAGAGGGAUUUGAAGACACAGCCGCCUGUGGGCUGCGGUAAAGAGAGGUGGCUGAGCAGUCGGGCAGCAGACGGCGGCGGCAGCUCUGGGACCCCGAAGGGAAAACGGGAGCAGCGCCGAGAACGGGGGCAGAGGGGGGAAUGCCGCCGAGCGGGGAAGGUGCAGAGAUGGGGACAAAGCGUGCGGAAAAACUCGGGUUGUUAUGGGCAGCUAGUGACCCCUUCCCCCCUUGUGGUCAGACCCCAGCUCUGUACCUGGCAGCCCCCCCUCUGGCCGGAGAUGAGCUAGAGGAAAUGACACAAACUACCUAAAGCCAUAAAACCCCCUGUGACCCCUGAAUAAAUGCCAUUUGCUGUCCACCACGUUGGUGUCUGGAGCUAAUGGACCGAGUAACUUUUGGGCUAGAAAAGUCACCGUGCUGGGUCGCCUGAACCAGGUCGCUACGCAACAAGUGGUGCCGAAACCCGGGAAAACCGAUCGCCCGGAUUUCGGGGUUCGCCUGACUAGGACCCGGCGACUGUGCAGGCUGGCCUAGUGCAGUGGGAGAGACGUCUCCAGACUCGCGAAGACCAUGGAACUCGCAAAGGUCGUGAUAUCCAUGAACGGUGGAAGUUAGAUUGUAAGCUGAAGGAUUUUUGUCUUGCGGUGCCGAGACUUAUUCAGCUUGGGGCUAUAGACAGCCCGGUAGAUAUUCUCCAUCCAGAGAUGUGGGGUAAAUGCACCACCGCUUUGGCUGAGGACACUAUGUCCUCCGGCUCGGGAAAAGCACUUACAGCCUGGAGAAGGGUAAUUCAGGCUUUGCGAACUGCCCGGCAGGAACAGCACGCCUGGCAGGCUGCCCGGGCGUGUUCAUUGCUUGCGCCGCAAAUGGGAAUCGGGGCGGCCACGCAAACCGCGGACGAGUUUUGAGUCGGGCGGGCACGCGGUCGCGGACACCCCGGAGCCAUCCCUGCGAACCCCG
rnacentral:lncRNA from 12 species